UUUGAAAUCUAGUACCUUCGGUGCUCGAGUUGUAAUUUGAAGAUGGUAACUUUGGAGUUGGCCCUUGUCUAUGUUCCUUGGAACAGGACGUCACAGAGGGUGAGAAUCCCGUCUGACGAGGUGAUCCAACUCUAUGUAAAGUGCUAUCGAAGAGUCGAGUUGUUUGGGAAUGCAGCUCUAAGUGGGUGGUAAAUUCCAUCUAAAGCUAAAUAUUGGCGAGAGACCGAUAGCGAACAAGUACAGUGAUGGAAAGAUGAAAAGAACUUUGAAAAGAGAGUGAAAAAGUACGUGAAAUUGUUGAAAGGGAAGGGUAUUAGAUCAGACUUGGCGUUUUAUGAUUAUCUUCCCUUCUUGGGUUGUGCACUCGUAUUGCGCUGGGCCAGCAUCGAUUCGGAUGGCAGGAUAAUGGCAAUUGAAUGUGGCAUCCACUUCGGUGUAUGUGUUAUAGCUUUUGUUGAUGCUGCCUAUCUGGAUCGAGGACUGCGUCUUUUGACUAGGAUGUUGGCGUAAUGAUCUAAUAUCGCCC
rnacentral:rRNA from 1 species